rnacentral:rRNA from 1 species
UACAGAGGGGGCAAGCGUUAUUCGGAAUUAUUGGGCGUAAAGGGCGCGUAGGCGGCCUGGCAAGUGGAAGGUGAAAUCCCUCGGCUUAACUGAGGAACUGCCUUCCAAACUGCUUGGCUUGAGUCCGGGAGAGGUGAGUGGAAUUCCCAGUGUAGCGGUGAAAUGCGUAGAUAUUGGGAGGAACACCAGUGGCGAAGGCGGCUCACUGGACCGGAACUGACGCUGAUGCGCGAAAGCGUGGGGAGCAAACGGG